rnacentral:rRNA from 1 species
CCUACGGGUGGCAGCAGUGAGGAAUAUUGGUCAAUGGGCGGAAGCCUGAACCAGCCAAGUAGCGUGCGGGAUGAAGGCCCUACGGGUCGUAAACCGCUUUUGCACGGGGAUAACACCCUCCACUUGUGGAGGUCUGCAGGUACCGUGCGAAUAAGGGCCGGCUAAGUCCGUGCCGGCAGCCGCGGUAAUACGGAAGGCCCGAGCGUUAUCCGGAUUCAUUGGGCUUAAAGGGAGCGUAGGCGGGCGUUCAAGUCAGCUGUAAAAUUGCGCGGCUCAACCGCGCCCCGCAGUUGAAACUGGACGGCUUGAGUUCACAACAGGCAGGCGGAAUUCGUGGUGUAGCGGUGAAAUGCAUAGAUAUCACGAGGAACCCCGAUUGCGAAGGCAGCCUGCCGGGGCGCGACUGACGCUGAGGCUCGAAGGUGCGGGUAUCAAACAGGAUUAGAUACCCGUGUAGUC